AGAAAAAGAAAAAGAAAAAGAAAAUGCCCUAGACGACUUAUUAAAGAAAUUAAAAAACAGAUACAAGAAAGGGUAUUGAUAAUUAUAUUAUUAUUACACAAUCUCAAAUUAUUCUAAGAAUCCCUUUUCUCUAGAAGACUAGCAAGGAAUUCUUGAUAUCAUAAUUCAGCUUCUCCAAAUUUGGCUGUACCGCAAACUGGAUCAUCGGUGGAGGCCCGCACGCCAACGCCAGAGUAUCGUCAGAUCCUUCGGGGACACGCUCCCUCAGGAUACUCUCAGUGACGAACCCCACACUAUAUUGCCACCCUUCCUUGAUAGAUUCUUGAACCACAUACCACACCUUUAACCUGUCACCAUGUUGCUUGGCCCAAGUGUCAAGCUCGUCUCUUAACAAGAUAUCAUCCUCUGUGCGGUUCGCGUAGACCACAUACAUCUCUGUAUCGUCCUCAGGGUCCUUCAAAAUGGCUUGAAUUACUUGAUAAAUAGGAGUGAUGCCUGUCCCACCAGCGAGCAUGGUUAGCCUCUUGGCGAACUUGGGUUUCCCAUGUACCAAGAAAUUGCCUGUCCCAGUAUACUCAAUGUGACCCAGUGGACCUUUAACAUCUACUAUAGACCCCAGUGGCAGAGAGUCGAGGUGCUGAGACAUUAGCCCUCCAUUGGGGAACUUGGGGUGCACACCUUUGAAGUAAAUCUUGAUCACAAGAUCAAAGUACCCCACAACAUCGAUGGUGCUUGUUGGCGUGUAGGCUCGCAUGCACAGCUUUUCAUCAAUCGUAGCACACAAGAAUAUGUGCUUCCCUACAGGCAACCCUAACACUUGAUCCUCUGAUGGUAAUGCAAAUCGAAAGAGACGCACGUCGUGGGAAAGAGAUUCCUUUUUCACGAGCUUGCAUGGGAUUUUUUCACGAGGAACAAGGGCAACAUUUCUCACAGCCGGCACAAUUUCUUUGAUCGGUGCGGUUUCCUUAACAGGAGCUAAACGUGUUAGUGGCAUAUUGGAUGCACCGUGCACCGAGUUGUUAGGAGACGAGGCGUUCGAAUCAGAAGUACAAGCUGUAGAAUCCACUAGCUCGCCAAUUCGAUAAUCCUCAAGCAUUUUCUUGGCUUUAUCGGAGUGUAUGGCGUCAAAUUCUUCAGUGCAAUCGGUGCCUGCAUUGAUCAGAAUGCUGUCAGUUCCGCCGGGGUGAUCUUUAAGGAAACGGGUACAGUCGUAGACGUGGCCAUGGACGAUAAUCCAGGAAGAGUCGGCGGAGUUGUGUUUCUUGACGUCAGCCAUGGAGAAGGUCUUUGAGGAAGUGUUCAUGAAGGGUGUUGAGACGCUUUUCUUGAGUGUUUGGUUGCUUUCCGAUGAUAUCUCAUGAUGUCUUUCCUUGGCCAUCCAUCCGCCGGACUGGUUGGCCGGUACGGUAGGAUGCUCGAACACAAUUCCAAUCUCACCCUUGUGUCUCUUGCAUACAUUUGUUUUCACCCGGAACCAGCAAUUGUUCAUCAUUCCCAUGACAUUCCAAAUGAGCUUCUCGGGUUGGGUGCUGAGGGCCUGAUCCCAGGCUCGAACCGAAAUCUCUUUGGCUCCAAGUAGGUUGAGAACCUCCACAUCCAGGGACCAGAAGCACCAGCACCAAUAUUUGCCAUACUUGUUAGGCUUCUCAGGAUGGUCCAAGGUGCAGACUUGCCACGUUUCCCCACCAUCCAUAGUCACUUCGACACGCGUCACUUUUUUCCCACCACCGGAAUAUGCGUAACCCUUCAACGUGUACGGCAUCUGAGUUGUCCACGGAUUAAUUGGCAAGAUCUCUUCAUGAGACGGUGUCGUUAUCACAGAAUUUAUAUUUAACUCAUUGAUUAUAUACUCCGGUUUAUACCACCAUGCUUCAGCAUUAGCAAGCUCAGCAUCAACAUGGGAGGGUAGAACCCUGUUGUCCUUGUAAUGAUAGUAGUUGUCUGAUUCAUUGGUGGUAACGAUAAUUCUCUUUAACCAUUUAACCAUACGCCCACCGAUGAACCCUGGAAUAAUCAUCCUCACAGGGAAUCCAUGGUCAGGAGCCAAAAGAUCACCGUUUUGCAUGUAGGCCAGGAUAAUAUCACGCGAUGGAUCCAUAGCAUACUCUUUCUUGAUGCUGGUCCCGUACUUGGUCCCACCUCCACCUGGCAGAUCCUCCGCCCCUUCAAAGCAUACGUUGAGGGCCCCCUUCUUGCAGCUGUAGAUUCCACACCGCUUCAGCACCAAAUGUAACGGUACACCGCGCCACACUGAAGUCGACACUCCUGCUGCUCCCCAGUUAAAACCGAUGGUUUGUUUCACCAUAUUUUGUUCUUUUCGUCUAUUGCCCGCGCAAACCAGGGUCACUGGGAAUUCUCGGCUAGGGAACUCGUUCGCCAGCUGGUUCAUGGUGAACCGGGUUGGUUUUUUAACCAACCCGCUAAUCUCAACGGUCCAGUCCUUCCAACUCACCUUAGGAACCGGACCGUGGUUGCGGACAUAGUGGAGCGGGACUGGGGUUAUGAACCCGUGUUGCAUUAGCCUGGACAAGGGCGCUUCACAGUUGAAGGGGUGUUUCCCUGUGAGGCGGAUCAUUGAAGGAUUACGCUCCACCCAGUUAUCGGCGGUUCCUUCGUCUCGCGGGUCGAGAAUCGAUGGCUCUAACUCGCUGUUGCCCUUGGAGAUUAGAUCCUUAUAGUCAGCUUCGUCGUCGCUGGAGGAAUCUUCCUCCAUUGUAGGAUCCGGUGUCUGGUUGGAGCUGGUGAAAUCUUGAGCGAAGUUGAAGGUUCGAACGGGAGAGUUAGAACGGUGAGUUGGACCUGGUUUGAAGGUGCGAACGACGCCGUUUAAGGGUGAUUCGAGGUGGAACUGGCGGUUGUCGACUGAGGCCGCCAUUGGAGACUAGAAAGGAGCUUAAUUGGAAGAAAUGGAGAACACUUUUUAGUGACUUUUUUCUUUACAAAGAAAAAUUUUCUACUGGUGUGAUUUUGUUUGUUUCUCUAUUGGAUUGAAGGCGGAGGGAAGGUGCAUUGGGUUAAGAUUUAUAGAGGCCUCGGAGGAGGGGCUUGAGGUCGAAACGUGUGAAAGAGGAAAAUGGGGUCCGUUCGAUUGGAUCUGGUUCUGGUGGACGGGUCAUGUAACUAUUGACGUCAUUUUUUUUCCUUUUUGAUUUUAUUAUUUUGGAAAUACGGAAAAAAUAAUAAUUAGGUGGUGUCGGCUGGGAUGGCUGGUGGUUGCUGUGGGCUGCGCCUGAAAGGCCGUGGUUUUGCUUUGUGGCUGCAGCCGGACGUAGAUUAAUUGCAGAUAUUUUAGUUCUCUUCUUAACGUGAUCGUUAAUUGGCUUGGCACGGAUAAACGAAUUUGUAUGGAAA
rnacentral:misc_RNA from 1 species